GGGGCUGUGGCGCAACGGUAGCGCGUGGUACGUCUUACCUCAUUCAGCCUAGCUUGACCCCGCUAAUAUUCGAACAGCGACUCCAGAUCGCAAGGUUAUCCGUUCGAAUCGGGUCAGCCUCA